CAGUAGCCGCGGUAAUGCGAAGGGUGCAAGCGUUAAUCGGAAUUACUGGGCGUAAAGCGUGCGUAGGCGGUUUGUUAAGUCUGUUGUGAAAUCCCCGGGCUCAACCUGGGAAUGGCAAUGGAUACUGGCAAGCUAGAGUGUGUCAGAGGAUGGUGGAAUUCCCGGUGUAGCGGUGAAAUGCGUAGAGAUCGGGAGGAACAUCAGUGGCGAAGGCGGCCAUCUGGGACAACACUGACGCUGAGGCACGAAAGCGUGGGGAGCAAACAGGAUUAGAGACCCGCGUAGUCCCUGUCUCUUAUAC
rnacentral:rRNA from 1 species